rnacentral:snoRNA from 1 species
AGCCCAUGAUGAGGACAUCUUCUAAGCAGAUUGCUAAAUUGUUCCCAAGCCUUAUAUAAGGAUCACCAUCAAAUUGUGUGAAUGAAGCUAUAUCAUUCCUCAACUU